AUGCUGCAGGGCCACCUCACCCGAGCACAAGACCGCUUCAAGAAACAAGCAGACAAGCAGCGCACGGAGUGCGCCUUCACCGUCGGCGACCAAGUCCUCCUCAAGAUCCAACCUUAUGUGCAGGUAUCCGUCGCCAGCCGCCCCUGUCGGAAGCUUGCUUACAAGUACUUCGGCCCGUUCACCAUCCUGGAGCAUUUCGGUGCCGUGGCGUACCGCUUGGAGCUGCCGCCGGAUAGCCGCGUCCAUCCGGUCUUCCAUGUCUCCCAGUUGAAGCCCUUCAUCCCCAACUACUCGCCUGUCUACUCCGAGCUGCCCAAGAUCCCGGACUUGACAACAACACCUCUGGUCCCGGUGGCCAUCCAAGAAAGACGCAUGGUCAAGAAAGGUUCGACCGCGCUCAGCCAAGUCCGAGUUCAGUGGUCUUCACUUCCUGUGAACGCCACCACCUGGGAAGACUACGACAUCUUGCGCUCGCGCUUUUCAUCAGCCAACAUCUGGGAAGACGCCGCAUCUCAAGGAGGGGCGCAUGUCACGCUUGUAGUUCAGGGCGAGUCGCCUGAACCUGCAGCGGACAGCGAGUGCACGAAUGGUGCAGCUACAGGUCAAGUUGGGCCGUAG
rnacentral:rRNA from 1 species